rnacentral:rRNA from 1 species
UACAGAGGAGCCAAGCGUUGUCCGGAUUGACUGGGCGUAAAGCGCACGCAGGCGGUUGCGCGCGUGGGGUGUGAAAUCUGGCCGCUUAACGGCCAGGCGCCAUCCCAUACGGCGCGACUGGAGUGAUGCAGAGGUCGAUGGAAUUGCCGGUGUAGUGGUGAAAUGCGUAGAGAUCGGCAGGAACACCCAGGGGGGAAACCAGCCGACUGGGCAAGUGCUGACGCUGAGGUGCGAGAGCGUGGGGAGCGAACGGG